GUGUUAAAGAAUGGGUCAAAUGCAGAGAACAUGACUCCUACUUCUAAUAUAACUUCAAUAUUACAUAAUAAACCAAGUUCCUUCGUGACAAACAUAAACUCCAAUUACAAUGAGCUAAUUUUAUAACUCAUUUGAAUUUCAUGAUUGGAUUUGCUCGAGGUUAAAAUCAAAUAUGAUCAUUUAUAUUAAAGGUUCUCUAUGUAAUAUUUUUGUUGGGGAGUCCAUCUUCUGUUUUUUUCUAUGAAUAUGUCAUUGCUCUGUCUGGAAUGUUCCACAAUAUGGCAUUAAACAGCUCUACCUUACAUUUAUAUCAAUUAUAGCUGGUUUUCUAGCUCAAAAACACCUAGAAAAACAAGCAUUCUAACUAUGAGCAGGGUUGCCUCUCCACAGAUAUAACCCCUAAACCAUUAACUACUGUACACAAUAGCGUUACAGUAAUUUUCAUGUCAAUAUUCCCAAGUCAAACCAAACAGCACUAUUAGACCACUAAAACAACAACUGCUGCAUAUUUCACCCACCAUCUUUUCCACACAUGUUCUGUUUGCCUGUUCCAAUUGCAUUAUUCAAUCCAACAUGACACUGUGAGCUCUAACAUGGGAUAUCAGACAUCCACGCGCCCCCUUUGUUCUCCAGAAGGUUCUUUGUUUGUCUGUGAAGGUGUACGACAAUGAUUAGGUUUGAUGGAUGAUAGCGAGCCGAUAAUUGUGACAAGGACGCCGCGUUAACAUUGAAGCCGGGACAAUGGCACCGCUGCAGCUGCACGGCCACUGCAUAAUUCAGACAGCAGCGGAUGGGAAGCAGGAAAAAAAGGGGGGAAAAUGGUAGACUGGGAAUGUGAGGAGAUGGGAAGGGAGGAAGAGGGAGGAAAGGGGGAGGAGGAUAUGGGCCAUUUAAAAGUUUCUGAACAAAGGGGUUAGGUUCUGGAAUGGAUGAAACUAGAGAAAAAAGUGGAGAGAAGCACAAUGCAAUUUAAGUUAGGAUUAGUUACACAAUAUUACAAAACAUGAAAAAAGGUGGCUGAGACUUGUAAGUAACAUAAGAGCCGGUUAGGUAACAUUAACGUCUUUACCUUAUUUGUUUAAUUGGUCGUUACUGUAGGUGGUUACUGUACAACUUAAUUAUAUGGUUACUAUAUAGCUUAGAAUUUGUCCACUAAAGUCCACAAACAGAAAUGUUGAGACAUAUCAAUUCUUCAUUGUAUCCAUGGAUUUAUUGCAUACAAUAUUACAAAUGGAGGCUCAUAAGUUUAUUUUGAUGAGAUAACUGUUGUCACAAAGCAAACAAACAAACAAACAAACAAAAUUCAAGCAUAGGCGGAGUUUGCGGAGGUCAGGGGAGUAACUGUCCCCCCUAGUGGCUGAAAUAUGUCAUGACAUUGAGUCUAUAAUAUGGCCAAUACAAAUAUUUACUUAUGAUUGGGUGGUUGGUCCUUUCGCCUGCGGUCACCCGACGGUCUACAUGGGCGCACCUUCGAGCCCUUCAUGACACUCAGUCCCGGUUCAGUUCUGACAUAGUCCUGUUUUAGUCCUGGUCCCUGAUGUCUCAGGUCACUAUAGGACAGUACUGGAGAUAUCAUGAGCCUAUGCAGCUUGUUUUCACCAUUGCCAGUAGCUCUGGUUUGACAUUUAAGUUGUAGCUAUUUUAUAUUUGUUAUUUUUUUAUAUCUCACGUCGGGAGAAGUGGGUAGACAGCAUAACCCUGUGUACCACGCUCACUACACCCCUAACCCCCCUCCUACACACCUCAUGUGUGAUGCUGUGUGGUGUUUGGCUUUAUGGGAGGCUUAUGAACAGUACUGCUGUAUGUGUAAUAACAUUAUAACUGUUGCAUGUAAUGUCACUGAAUAGUUAUAAUGCAUGGCGUCAUGGACAGUAAAGCAAUAAUUUCAUUGUACAGGGCAAAGCAUUUCUUCACUGUGCACAAGACAAUACUCACUUUAAAUCUUGAACUUUAAAAUGUUUGCCCCUCCCAGUGCAAAAGUCAAACUUUGCUUAUGAUUUCAAGUCUUCUUCAACCUAUCCAUGUUACAAUGAUGAAAAAUUAGAACAGUUGCCCUAGCAAUCAACAACAAUCUUUUUUGAAUGGGAAAGGUUCCAAAUACUAACAGUAAUGUUAACCCAUAUUAGUUCUUGAUUGUUUACACGGAUUUAUUUCAUGCAAAAUUACAAAUAUUGUUUUGUUAAAUUUAAAUUUGGUGGCUCAUGAGUUUAUUUUGAUAAGAUAACUGGUGACAUUUUCACCCUGGAUAUUUAGAAUCCUUAAUGAAAAAAGCUGUUAAGCUGUCAGACUGUAGAUUUGUUACUGGAACUGGAGUAAAUAAAUAAACUCAAAAUUUGAAAAAAUGUCAGAAAGUUCAACAUCUCUGUCAGUGUAAAUAAACUAAAGUGAAAUCAUCUUUCACAAUAGCUGCAGAAAGUGGUGCCAUAUUCAACCCCCAGUUAUCAGUUGAUAGGAGGUUCACAUUGCAGGUUAGUGGAAUAUCGAAAAGAUUCAACAUUUAUGGAUUUUUAUUUUAUUUUUUCUUUCAAAAAACAGUGAAUCUCCCAUAGAGUUACAUAUAGCCCCUUACCUACUGUCUGAGAUUAUGACAUUUCAAUUUUUCAACCUAUCUGUGUCACAAUCAUAGCAAAAAAUUGGACAGUUGUCAUAGCAAUUAACAAUUUAAAACAUAAUAUUACAUCUUUUUGAAUUGGAAAAAAAGUCUUCACAAUGUUUCAUAUAACGGGAACCUGAAUCCCAUGAAUUUGAGGAGAUAGAAGAGGGAGGAGGAUGUAUGGAGCAAUAUAAGCAGAAAUGAGUCGCAGCCAUGGCGAGGGGAGGGGAGAUGGAUGGAAAUGGGUGGGCAAGGGGCGGGUGGAGGUGCAGGGGUGUGGGGCCGGGCAGGUGGAGAAGGUGGGGGUGACUGAUGGGAGAGGUGGUGGUGGUGGGUUUGGUGAUUGCGGAUUCUGACUGGAGGCUAUGUUGGAAUCUGAGAUGGGUAACAUACAAGAGAUUUUUCAGUUUGCACCAUUGUUUCAGGUUGUCACUUGAUGUAGUCAUGUUACUGUUAUUUUGGAAUAUUUCUUUGUUGUGUCAUGUUUUGUUUUUUUUUUUUUUUCUCUCUAUACAUUAUAGUUUUUCUUCUUUUUUCCUUUUUAUUGAUGGCACUCUGUUGUUGUAUUUUUGAUCGUUUUCAACAUGUAUCAUAUGGUAAUGCUGGUACCAGACUAUUAUUUAUUUAUUUAUUUAGUUUUUUUUUUUCUAUGUGAUAUCAGAACAUGUCAUGACAAUAUUUUAAAAUAGAGCUGGAGGGAAGUUGUUGGAAUUCCAUUGACUUUUUAACUAUAAUAACCUUGUUCAUUUGUCCUGGUCUAUGCUUAAUGUCUGUUUUUGUGUCAUGUGGAUGGGCUUAGUCAUACCUAACAUUCAACUGUUCUAAGGUAUUUUAGUAUGAAAUAAUAACUAGGCAAGUUUAUUUGUAUAGCUCAAUUCGUACACAAAGUAAUUCAAAGUGCUUUACAAAAUAAGAAAUACAUAAAAAUCACAAUCCAAGCAAGUCAAAACAUAAAUAGUCAUCAUUAAAUUAGAGGGAAGAAUGCGGAAUGAAAACCUUUCAGUCAUGUGCAGCUAAACAAACUGUUUUGAGCCUGGAUUUAAACAGUCAGAGUAGAGGCCUGUCUCAAAUGUUGAGGAAGAUUGUUCCAGGUUUUAACUGCAUCAAUCUGAAACACUGACUCCCCGCAUUUAGUCCUGACUCCGGGCACCAGCAGGAGGCCAUCCCUCGUUCAUAUGGCACUAACAUGUCACAGAUGUAUUUUGGUGCUCGGUCAUGGAGAGACUUGUACACAAGCAGAGCUGAUUCUGAGCCACAGGAGCGAGAGCAGAGACCUGAGCGCAGGACUUAUGUGCUCGUACUUCCUGUUUCGAGUCAGAACCCGAGCUGCAGCGUUCUGGAUGUACUGCAGCGUCUCACAGCUCAUUUGAAGAGGCCCAUGAUCAGGCCAUUACAGUAGUCUAACCUACAGGAGACAAACUAGUUAUUGUUUUAUUCAAAGUAUUUUUCCUUUUUACCUUCAACCAGCCAAUAAGACUAUGGACCAAAAUGACCUUGUAUGGGAAACUCUGGCACUCAUACUUCCAAUUUCCAAUUCCAAAUCCAUAGUAUUUAUAUAGCAUUGUUUAUGAUCAUAUAGCUUCCAAAUUGAAAAAAAAAAAACAAAAAAAAAACAUAACAAAAACUAUCUGAAUAAAAGUUCUAAUCCAAUGCUAACCACCACAGAAACCAAUAUAACGAAAGCAAUACAACAACAAAGUACAAAGGAGAAAGUGAUGUGAUUGUGAGGGUUUAGAGGUGGGAGGGUCAAUCACAUCACUUUCUCCUAAUUGCAAUAACCCUAGGAAAAAAUUUUAAAAUUUAAAAAAAUGGAACAAAGAAAAAAAAUAAUAAAAAUAAGAACAAAAACGAUCUGAAUAAAAGUUUUAAUCCAGUGCUAACCAACACAGAAACCAAUAUAACGAAAGCAAUACAACAACAAAGUAAUAAAUAACAAGAAAACAAAACUUAAUGCAUUCAGUUCAUACCAUUAAAUAACUAUGAACAAAUUUGAACAAGACAAUCUAUAAAGUAUUGCAAUAAGGAGAAAGUGAUGUGAUUGUGAGGGUUUAGAGGUGGGAGGGUCAAUCACAUCACUUUCUCCUAAUUGCAAUAACCCUGGGAAAAUUUUAAAAAAAAAAAAAAAAAUGGAACAAAGAAAAAAAUAAUAAAAAUAACAACAAAAACGAUCAGAAUAAAAGUUUUAAUCCAGUGCUAACCAACACAGAAACCAAUAUAACGAAAGCAAUACAACAACAAAGUGUGGUAUUAAAUAACAAGAAAACAAAACUUAAUGCAUUCAGUUCAUACCAUUAAAUAACUAUGAACAAUUUUGAACAAGACAAUCAAUGAAAUACUUCAUUGCAAUAAGGAGAAAGUGAUGUGAUUGUGAGGGUUUAGCGGUGGGAGGGUCAAUCACAUCACUUUCUCCUAAUUGCAAUAACCCUGGGGGGGGAACAAAAAAAACUGCACACUCGAACAAAUCACAAUCAUAAAUAAUAAUACAUUUUCUUUAUAUAGUGCUUUUCAGGACAUUCAAAGAUUAUCAUUAGAUCAAUAGGUGUAUAAUACAGUAAAGAUAAAAGCAGUGAUUUGUACAGAGAAAAAAAGUUGAAUAUUAAAGUAUAUUCUAAAUAAAUAAUCAUAACUGCCAUAAUGAAUCCUUGUUUCUGAAGAUGUCUGAUUGUAUUCAUUUGACUAGACAAAUCACUGACACAGCUCUAGAUUCCACAGGGAACCAUAUAGGAACUUUUAACAUACUCAGUCAUGUAUAUUUACCAUUGAGCAUUCAUAUUUUAUUUUAACACGUACUUAACUACCAUAAAUAGUUGAUAAUUCUCAUACAUUCAUUCAGUCGAACGCAUCUGGAGUAUAGUGAAGAAUAGAUGGUCCCAGCCCCCACAGCGGCUCUGUCUGUGGAGAUGGAGCUAUUACAGAAACACUACAGGGACUGGGAGAAUGCAGGUCAUCAGCAGAUCUGUAAUCAACACUGUCUCUUUAAGCAGCUCUAAGUCUAAGCGCACCCAAAGGACCUGUUUACUGACCACACUGCUAAACUAUAGAUACUUCGGAGCUGACGUCAUCGACAUAACUGUAGGCACCGCUCCGUCUGAAGCUCCGUUACUCAAAAUUAGACUUGAAUCUGAGUUUUAUUUCAACACGAUCUGACCAGAAAGAGUUGAUUUAGUUGGAACUUCAACAGGUGAGCGGAUUUAAACAAUCGCACACAUAAAGUCACAGUCACAAACUUUUUUUCAGUUCAGGUUUUCAGUUGUCUCACCUUUUUGUUGAAAAUCAAACACCUACACGGGAACAUCUGCUCCUGUAAAUGUGGUGUUUAAGUCUAUUUUAUAUUUUCUUGAGUUGUCAGACAGUCUUAAAACUUUUUGGCUGUGUUUGGCUAAAGUAUCAUCAUGUGUGUCAGUAUUGUAACUUCUAAUCAUUUCACUAUACAGACAUGUAGAACCCCCCAAAGCUUGACGUCACAGCAAUUUAUAUUUUAGUGAUGUUGCAUGGAACCACAAAACCAUGAAGCAGAAUGAUUAUUUUUAUAAAAAGAAAAAGAAAAAAGAAAUGGUGAUUAAAAAAGAGACAAACCAUUUUAGACUGGGUGCCUAUUCUUUUUACAUACCAACCUCCAUAAUCCAUACCUUGGGACAUGUGACUCUACAUUAGAUAUAUAGAUAAAUAGACACUGCACCACUCCACCAGAACAGUUAUGCUUUGCAACUUUAAACAUUCAAACUGAGAAAAUUAAAAAAUAAAAUAAAACAAUAAUAAUAAUAAAAAUAAUUACAAAAUUGGAUGAUAUGAUGAUGGAUGAUUUUAGAUCAGGGGUGUGAAACUCAAAUUCAUAGAAGACCAAAAUAAAAAAAAAAAAAAAGUCGUGAAAUUUUUGUUUUCUUUCAAGAUAUAUAAAAUAAAACUUUUCUUAUUAAAAUAAAUGUUUAAUAAUAGUUUUGCUUAAACAAUUAAUCCAGAACAAGCAAAAUAUAAAUAAUAACAACAUUUAAAAUAAAACAAUAAUAAUCUGUAGCUGCUGGGCCAGCUCUAAUACAUAUUUGAUAUUAUACUGCAGGAGUUUGACAUGUCUGUUUAGAUGACAAUAGUUUUGACUGUGAUCACCUUCACAAAGAAGAGUCUUUUGGAUAGAGUUUGAUUCUCUUUUGGAAGAGUUUAUAUUUUAAGUAACAUUUAACUAAUCAUCUUGCCAUAUAUUAUGACUUUGACACAGAUCAUCAACACAUUUUCGUACCAUGUAACUCCUCAUGAAAGAUAAAACUUUCCAAGUAACAUCUUGACCAUUAGACCAAGACUAAAUCUGGACUAAAAACACUAAUAGUGUUACACUUUAUAUUAAGGCAUAUUACAUGGUGAAAUGCUAAUGUGAAUCACAUACAGUGUUGGGGAGUAACAGAUUACAUGUAUCAGAGUUACGUAAUCAGAGUACAAAUUAUGAGUAACUGUAUUCGGUUACAGUUACUGUUUCAGUGAGUGGUAAUUGGAUUACAAUUACUUUGUUGAAAUAAAUGCAUUACAUGGCGGUCUAAAACCAGGACUAAAACCAGGACUAAAACCAGGACUAAAACCAGGACUAAACCAGGACUAAACCAGGACUAAGUCAGGACUAAAACAGGAUUUAACAGGACUAAACCAGGACUAAAUCAUGCUGUGCAGACGUGUCUCCUCUUCUAUCAAUAAUAUUUUUUAAUACGGUUAAGUAAAGUCUGGGCUUUUUAUUUUCUUUUAGCAGACAAAACAUCUUAAGUUAUGAUAUCCUAGUCUUUGCUUCUCUACAGCAAAUCAAGUAAUCCAAAGUAUUCAGAUUACGUUACUCAUUUUAAGUAAGUUAAUGGAUUACAUUACAGACUACUUUUUGGUGUGUGUAAUCUGUAGGGGAAUACAUUUCAAAAGUAACCUUUCCAACACUGAUCACAUAUAUGCCAUACCGUACCAUAGGUAACCCUUUGAAAACUCACUGUUCAGUUUCAGUUCAGUAUGUUCUUUUUCUGCUUGUUUCUUCAUGUCUUUCAAUCCAACUAAGUGCCAAAAAUACAAAAGGAGUUUAAGAUGUACAAAAGUUUAAUGGCAAAAACAAACAUCAUCGUUUUGAAAAAUUGCCCAAAGGUUUUCCACCAACGUCUAGAGAUAUUAUCAAUGACAUUGUAUAGUGGAUGUUUAUCAAGAAGAGAUGGAAUAAUAUUUUAACAGCAGUGAAAUACAUUUGACUUUUGAAACUAUUACUAUACUAAGCGUAAACUACAAGCCUCUGAUGACUUUGUCAAUUAGCAUGUAUCUGUUUUUGCAAAGUAUCUUUUCAAAUAUAUCUUACUUCCUUGUUUGCUAUUACAAGAAAUCUAUAUAAACAACAAAAAUCCGGGACUAUUGGGCAUAGCACAACUAUUUUAAGUUUAAAUAAUUAAUCUUGUAGUUCCAACAGCUGCUUGGUAACCAGACAAAAAUAACCAUAUAGGCUACGAAACACAACACAUAGACGACUUUUGAACAAUACAGCUCAUAGGUCCAUUUUUACUUUCUUAUCCAAUCCUAUCACAAUCUAUUUAAAGUUUUUUUCCUCCACGCUAAAAAUCUGCUCUGUCUUGCCUUUGGUGUGGCGAUAAAAUAUGCAUGCUUUGGACUUUUCACCUUUCCAAUUUUUAUUCCUUGUAUAAAUCAAAGGGAAACUGAGCCUUUUAUGGGGGGAGCUCAUCCAUGUUUGAUGUGCAGCCAGGAGGGAGACCCAGAUAAUAGCUUCUAUCAUGGGCACGGGUAACGGGGCAGGGUGGGUGGGUGCGGUGGGCAUAGGAUCAGCUGGGUGGGUGGGUGUCCUCGGUCUCAAGAAAAGUCAUUAUAGGCAUUAAUGGGCUCGCGUGGAGGUCUAUUAUUGCAGAAAUGGGUUCAGUUGGACAAUAGAGAAGGGUCUUGGAGUAAUUUGUGUCUGGGUAAAUAUGUUGUUGGUGAGAUAAAUACACGGGCCUAGGUGUGAAUCAUAAUAAUGGGGACAAAUAAGGUCAAGUAAGAAAUAGACGGGUUUUGGUCAUAUUUAUUUCAGUCAAUGGUAUGUUUGACCCAGUUCUGUGUACCCUCUGCUCAAACCAACUGGUGGCAGCACAGUGGCAUAGUGGUUAGAGUGGGGGUCUCCAAACUUUUUUUCUCCGGUGAGCUACCUGUACGAAAAGAAAAUGCUACAAGUCAUAAGAAAUUGAAUAUAUACAUGGCAUGACAUGGCAAGCUUUAGAUGAGGUACAGUUAGAUGCCUAUAAAACAAACUAUUAUUCAAUACCAGUGUACAACGUUAGGAACCAAAAUGAUACUUGAACAGUUGUAAAAGGCACUUAAUUAAUCAGAUUUGACUUAUUCAGCACAAUACGUGUAAUUCAGAAAUCCUUUGGCGAGCUACUUGUAAGGGAGUAGAGGGGUACCAGUAGCUCCCGAGUUAUAGCUUGGAGACCCCUGGGUUAGAGAUUCAGCCUCACAACAAAAAAAGUGUCAUUCCCAGAGGAGUGGCUUCUUUCUGAGUGUUCAAAUGUUCUAAUAAUAAUAAUGCAUUUGUCUUAAAUAGCACUUACUAUUUGGUGCAUUAUUCAAUCACUCCACAGCAGGUGGUGGUAAACUAGCCGCAGCUGCCCUACGCCAGACUGAUGGAAGCAAGGCUGCCAAUCUUCACCAUCGGCCCCUCCGACCACCAACACCUGUAACUUACAUUACAAUAUAUUUAAAAGCAUUAAAACUGAGCUUUUGAUAUCAGCUUUGAUGGUUAUAUUGCAGCAAUAAGGAUGUGAUGUACUCUCCUGUAUAUUCCUAUUUAUAAUGUAUAUGGUAUACCUUUUUUAUUCGCAGUCAUCUUUUUUGCAUUGCACAAUGUAGGUAAGGCAAGUUUAUUUGUAUAGCACAAUUUGUACACAAAGUAAUUCAAAGUACUUUACAGAAUAAGAAAUACAUUAAAAUCAUAAUAAAACUAAUCAAAAUAUAAAUUAUCAUCAUAAAAUUAAAAAUGUAAAUAAAAAAAUAGAGAGAGACAUUAAUUACAUAAAUUAGAGAGAAGAGUGUGGAAUGAAAACCUUUCAGUUAUUUGCACAGUUAAACAGAAAUGUUUUGAGCCUGGAUUUAAACAGCGUCACAGAAGAGUCUGUCUCACAUGUUCAGGAAGACUGUUCCAGGUUUUAGCUGCACGAAGCGGAAACGCUGACUCCCCGUGUUUAGUCCUGACUCUGGGCACCAGCAGGAGGCCGGUCCCUGAGCUCCUCCGAGUGCAAGAUGGUUCAUAUGACACUAACAUGUCACAGAUGGAUUUUGGUGCUCGGCCAUGCAGAGACUUGUACACAAGCAGAGCUGCUUUAAAGUCUAUUCUCUGAGCCACAGGAGCCAGUGCAGAGACCGGAGCACAGGACUUAUGUGCUCGUACUUCCGAGUUCGAGUAAGGACCCGAGCUGCAGCGUUCUGGAUGUACUGAAGCAGAUGUAAUGUAUGAAUUAUAUGUGAUUGACCUGUUCAUUCUCUUGUGUUUUUUUUUUUUUUUUUUUUUUUUUGUCACUUCUCCUUCGUUUUUGCAAGUUGCGAGUGUUUGACAGCCUGAUACUUUUGCCAUAUUCUGGGACAUAGUUCAGAACCCUCCUUCUUGUUAGUUUGAGAACAGCCAUGUAUGGUAAAGGCUCUUGACUCCAUCCAGUGGUAGAAAGUAAUAUACAACCAAACAGCACGCUGAAUUUGCCUUUGCAGCAACUCACUUUGUGUUUGUAUUCUCAUGUGUUUAUGGAUGUUUGUUAGUUGUUUUGGAUGUGAAGUUUAUGAGGUUUAUACCCUCAUAUUGAAAUAUUGAACCAUGCACAUGAUUUUGUUUUGCAGUGAGCUUCUAAUCAAGAUCAAGAAUAGUGAAGAACAAAAAUUGGAGUCUGACGUAAAUUGAAAUCAAAGGUAUACAAGUAGAAGGUGCAGCAAUGCAGGUUUAGACCGAUGAAGGGAAAAACUGAAACUGGAGAACUGAUUUUGAUAAAAUAACAUUUUAUAGAAUACAAAGGUUGGACACCCCAGCAAUUGAAGUUGUAAGCUCAAAUGAAAGUUAUGAUUGUAACUAUGGUUCUAUGAAUUCUGGACUACCUCUAGUAACCCUUUGUUAAGGAAUAAUACUAAAUCAAGGAUUGAUUGAUUGGUAAUAUUUUGAUAACAGUUGGAACUUAUUUAUCACAAUUGCUGUCAAAUCUGUAUUAAUUUCCCUCCAAUUCUAUUCACAUUCAAUUGGCUGGUACUCAGUGGUGGUACUCAGUAGAAGUAGAAGUACUUAAGUAAAAGUACAGGUACAGGAGGGGGGAAAAAAAAAGAAAAAGUAUCACUAGAAAAACUCUACUUACCUAAUGCAGAAGUAAAAGUAAAAAGUAUCCAGAUUAAAAUCUACCUAAAAUGUAUACUUAUGUACAGUACUACUUUUACAGUCAAAAUUACCCAAGUAUUAAUAUUUUACAGUAACAUUACUUUCACCCAAUCCCAGUACUUCUUUAACCUUGAAUAAUUUUACUCACAAAUCCACUUCCUGCAGGACUUACCCAUUCAGACACUUUCAGAUACCCAAAGUUCUACUGAAUCUCCCACCAGGCGGAAUAUAGAACGCCGACUAAAACAUCUCCAGGGCUCCACCGCUUUGAGAACGAGUGAUCAAAGCGUGCAAGUCGUUUAUCAUGAGGAGGAUAGACGAUCAUCUUAAGGGGAUGUCCUCAAACUAACUCUCCCCACUCUGUUUAUAACUAUGUGUUCUUGGCUUGCGUUGCUAAAGGACAAAAUCAAUAGCCAUUUGACAAACAUGACUUCAUAAUAACUGCCUGCAAAUGCGGUUGAAGUGAAGGACAGGACAAGCAUUGGUUUUAAUGUAAAAGGCUUUGGAGGUGGAUUGUUUCUGUCAGUUUUGAAUGUUGCACAGUGAAAGAGCUGUCAUUUUGAAGAAGUGAUCCAAGUAAAUGGUGAUUUUAUUGGGUUUUAAUCUUAUAAAAGGAUGUUGUGCUUGUUUUCGCGGUCAAACAGAAACAGGAGACGCAUACAGAAAAGCUCCGACCUGAUUUUCCCAUAAGACUAUGUAUACACUACCAAUUAAAAGUUUGGACUCAACCUCUCAUUUAGUGCUUUUUUCUGUGUGUUUACUGCAUCAAAUAUCAUCAACGUCAAAUAUAUGAAGUAAGAUUACAUAAAAAAUACAUAUAUUUUACAGCCAAAUCCUUAAAUCCUACACACCCUCUGCUUUGUCAAAAAAUAAAUAAAUAAAAUAAAAAAUACACUCUCUCA